rfam:Gossypium hirsutum cultivar TM-1 unplaced genomic scaffold scaffold326.1, whole genome shotgun sequence
AAUAGUUUUAUAUCACAUCAGCAUUUUCAUCCUGAUUUUCAGCAUUUUCAUCUUGAAAAAAUUCAAAUCCGAAAUAAAAUCCUGAAAUUCAGGAUAAGCAAAAUACUGAUGUGGCAUAAAACUAUU